rnacentral:rRNA from 1 species
UACGUAGGGUGCGAGCGUUAAUCGGAAUUACUGGGCGUAAGGCGUGCGUAGGCUGCUUCGCAAGUCAGGCGUGAAAUCCCCGGGCUCAACCUGGGAAUGGCGUCUGAAACUACGGAGCUAGAGUGUGGCAGAGGGAGGUAGAAUUCCACGUGUAGCGGUGAAAUGCGUAGAUAUGUGGAGGAGUACCGAUGGCGAAGGCAGCCUCCUGGGCCAACACUGACGCUCAUGCACGAAAGCGUGGGGAGCAAACAGG